rnacentral:rRNA from 1 species
AUUGAACGCUGGCGGCAUGCUUUACACAUGCAAGUCGAACGGCAGCGCGGGCUUCGGCCUGGCGGCGAGUGGCGAACGGGUGAGUAAUGCAUCGGAACGUGCCCAGUAGUGGGGGAUAGCCCGGCGAAAGCCGGAUUAAUACCGCAUACGACCUGAGGGUGAAAGCGGGGGACCGAAAGGCCUCGCGCUAUUGGAGCGGCCGAUGUCGGAUUAGCUAGUUGGUGGGGUAAAGGCUUACCAAGGCGACGAUCCGUAGCUGGUCUGAGAGGACGACCAGCCAAACUGGGACUGAGACACGGCCCAGCUCCCUAGGGGGGGCAGCGGGGGGGAAUUUUGGAAAAGGGGGGCAACCCUGAUCCAGCCAUGCCGGGGGGGGGAAGAAGGCCUUCGGGUUGUAAACCGUUUUUGUUGGGGAAAAAAUCCUUGGGGUUAAUCCCCCGGGGGGAUGACGGUACCGGAAGAAAAAGCACCGGCUAACUACGU